rnacentral:lncRNA from 1 species
GAUGAGCUGAGGCCAGGCUGGACCACUAGAAUGCAGCAAGAGCAGCUGAGCCCAGUGCUCUCUUCUCUAUUGUGGAGCGUUAGGGGGAGGGAGAUAAAUGAGGCCAUACUAUUGCAAUCACUUGGAAAAAUAUACAAAAACUUCCCAAACUACAAGAUGCUUUCUACUGCCACCAGACAUCCUUUGGAGGUUUUCCUACCGGUUAAUAACCAGGGACUUGUUGGCAUUUGACAGAGCAUCUUGGGUUUCUUACAUAAAAUGUGGAAUUGUCAACAGUCAGACCCUUCAAUGGCCAAGGCUGUGGUGCACAGUUUCUAUCAGCUUGUAUAGGAUAUCCUGCCUGGUUUUGGCCUCAGGAGCUGCCAUUGAUGGACACAGAGGGCGUUAAAACCCAGAGCACAUAAACCAGGAUGAGAAAAUUAAUCAGAAGAUGAAAGACAGCAGCUUUGGGGGACCCUGGCUGAGCCCUCCUGCAUGCUCCUGGGACACCCUUUCAGACCAGCAGCACCAUCCCAUGCAGGGGCUGUGAUGAUGACUUAUAAUGUAGACAUCACCUCUGCUGGAGGACAGCCUUCGGAUCUGCUGAGUCCUUUCAUAACAAAUAAAACCAAACACGACA